UUGUGCCAUUUUACUCCAGCCUGGUUGACAAGAGUAAAACUCCAUCUCAAAUAAUAAUAAUAAUAAAAUAAAAUGGAUUUUUGUAUUGGUAUUGUGCUUGUAAGUUUACCUAAUUUGUUUACUAUCUCUAAUAAUUUUUUAAACAUUCCUUAGGAAUUUCUAUGUAUAAGAUCAGGUGAUAAUUGGUCCUUGAAUAUUUUAUUUUCUUGCAUAAUUGCCCUACCUGUAUCUUCCAAUAUACUUUUGAAUACAAGAGUGAAAGUAGGUAUCCGUGCCUUGUUAUUCUAUUAGGAAUAAACCUUUCAGUGAUGACAAUUGAGUAUGUUUACUGUUGGUUUUACAAAAUUGCUUUUUAUCAUGUUUAAGAAAUUUCCUUCUAUUUCUAGGUUUGUGAGUGUUUUUUUUAUCAUGACAUGAUGUUGAACUUUGUUGGAAGCCCUUUCUGCAUCAGUUGAGAGAAUUAUGGAGUAUUUUCCUUUCAUUCUAAUAAUACAGUGUGCUACAUGGAUGACAUUAGUGUGUGGAACCAGUGUUGAAUUUCUGGGAUAAAGAAAUCAUGUUUAUGGUGUUUGAUCCUUUCCAAAUGCUGUUGGUUUAAAUUUACUAUUAUUUUGUUGAGGAUUACUAAGUCUGCAUUUCCAAGGUUAUAGAUCUGUAGAUUUCAGUCCUCGAAAUGGAGUGACACUGUGUAGGAUGGAUCAGGAUGGGAUUGGGUAUAGAUUGCGAUUAGUAUUUACAGAGUUAGUAUGUGAGGGUAUUACAAAUCAGGACAUAGGGCUUUACAGGCUGAGUUUACCAGUUAAAGAUUAGUGUACAAGGGCUCCAAGAUAGGAGGUUCAGGUUGGUGGUUGAGAGCUCCAUAGUAGAGAUUAGAGGGAGAGAUUAGGCUAAUAUGGUUAUUUUGACAGGUCAGAAUUACAGUGAAGAUUUAGGGUGAAAGUUUUAGUGAGAUUUUGGAUUAGGGUUAUAUACAGGUUAGAGUAGGUUUAGCUUAAGGUAAGGAUUAGAGUGAGUAAAAGUAACAUUAGGGUUCAUGGUUGAGGGUUAAGCUUAGGUUAGAUUUAGAGUUAAGGGUAAUUGGAGUAAGGUUAGGGUUAGGGAUUAGGAUUAAGGGUUAGUGUUAAGGUUUACAGUUUAGGGUAGGAAUUAGGAUUAGGGUUUAGGGCAGUGGUUAGGGUAAGGAUUACAGUUUUAGGGUUAGUGUUAGGGUUGUUAGGGUUAGGUUUAGAAAUAGGGUUUGGGGUUAAAUUUAGGGGUUAAAGUUAGGAUUAUGGUUGGGGAUAGGGUUGGGGUUGGUUUAGGGUUAGGUGUUAGGGUUGGGCUUAGGGCUUAGGGUUAGGGUUAGUGUGAGGGUUAGGGUUAGGAUUAGGACCAGAGUUAGGGUUAGAGUUAGGCCUACAGCAAGGCUUAGCAUUAGGGUUAGGGUUAGGGCUAUGUUUAAGGUUAGAGUUUAGGGGUUAGGGUUAGAGGGUCAGGGUUGGAGUCAAUGUUAGGGUUAGUGUUUAGGGCAGGGUUAGGCUUAGGGUUCAUGGUUAGUCUUAAAGUUAGGGACUAGAGUUAGGGUUAGUGUUAGGGAUGUGAGACCUGAAGUCAAAGGAGAUUAUUUUGAAACUUUAUAAUUUGACUGCCCUAUUGGAUUUCUGUCUUGGAUAGUUCCUGUAACCCUUUUAUUUUUCACAUUUGGAACACCUUUAUUUUCCCAAUGCCUAUAUCCCCAUUGUAUCUAGGAAGUAGCUAGCUUGCUUUUGAGUUUACUGCUUCAUAGAUGGAAGAGGCUUGCCUUUUUACAGAUGAAACUAUAGACUGUGGACUUUUAAGUUAAUGUUGAAAUUAGACUUGUGGGACUGUUGGGAAGGCAUGAUUGGUUUUGAAAUGUGAGGACAUAGGAUUUGAGGGGUCAAAGUUAAAGAAUCAUAGGAAUGUUGCUAAACAUAAAAAUUUUGCAAACUCAAUUUUUACAAUGAAACAAAUACAUUCUAUCAUCUUUUAUGUAUAAUAUGUUUUAAUUUUUUUUAACCCAAUGAAAUGUCAGUUUUGUGAUUUUGAUCUUACUAUAGCAAUUGUUUUGUAAACAAAGAAAAAUAAUUCAGGAUUGCAGAGAUGGUAAACUAUUAAAAAUAGUUUGGGUAUUAAAUUAUGAAAUAAUUGUGUAUUAAAUAAUGCUAAAUUCAACAGUUGUGAUUGAACAGAUCUGUAGGCAUAUUUAAGUGUUGAGGUGAAAGUGACAACCAAAGCAGUUAUGUCUAACAUUUAUGUCUGGAGGUAAUCCAUAGAGGAACUGGCUGUGGACCUUCAUCUCUGCGUCACCUUUGUUUUGUGCAGUAGCUGAGUAUCAAAAACAAAACAAAACAAAAUCAACACUUGUUCCUCAAAAAGAGAGAAAGAAUAUUUCCUUCAAUUUAAGCAUUCUUAAAUUUCUGGUGGCCCAUGCGCUCUUGGAGGAGGCCAAGGCAGAGCCCACCCUUAGGUGGGCAGGCAAUGCACUUGACCCUGAGGACAUCAGGUACCCGGCUCUCCAUCCACCACUGGUGCCCGAGUCACCCCUGCAGCCUAGAUGUGGCAUGGGAGCAGCAAGUGGCUGGACAUCCCAGUCCAGGCCCACACCCCGAGCAGCAGGAGUCCUGAGGCUGAGCACCCAGGUGGCAAAGUCAGGCUGUCAGCCCCGCCAGCAGCCGCUCAGUCUCAUGGGUGUGGAUGCAGAGUGCCCUGCACAGGGGCCCAGGAUCCAGAGAGGUGUCCAAGAGGAGCAGACCCUCAGGCCAGAUGGCCUGUGCACUCAGCGACCCUGACGCCACCCAAGGGAAGCUCUGCCAUCCCGUACCAGUACCAGAGCUGCACCUGCAAACUGUGCAUCUGGCGUGGGUAGCAAUGGGGGCCGGUGGGGGAAGGAGCAACCCCUGACUUUCCAUGUGUCUCCCACUACUUGACACCCGCCAGGUACAUCCCGGGGCCAGAGUCUCAGCGCUGAAGCCAGGCAAUCUGCAAAGACACUCCAGUGCUGCGGAGUGCCCAUGCCAGACCCGAUCUCCCUUUGAGGAGGCAUGGGGCAGCCACAGGGUGCAAUCCGCGUCCUCCUACAUUAUAUGAGAUAUAUGUAAGGAUUGAUAAUGUUCCAUCAGGAACUCAUGUUUGUGAUAUAAAAUGCGCGGCUGUGAUCCUGCACCCGUGGUCCUCCGGCAGCCGGGGCACUCCAGGAGAACCUGGAGCCCCGCGAUGCCUGCCCCGAGCGUCAGUCCCAUCUGCCUACGCGUGCCUGGGAGCGGCUUCCGGGAGCUGGGCGGCCGCCGUGGGGCAGGCGUGCGCCUAACGGCUUUGCGGGGCCGACUCAGUCUGAGACGUUAGAGGCUGCAAGUGUUGCUGCUGAAGGCUGUGGUGGACCACGCUGGAUCGCGGAUUCUGGGCUAGAAAGCCGAUUUAGGAUCACAGAUUGGGGGUUGGAGCCAGGUGGGGGUUGGCGCCAGGUGGGGGUGGGAGGAGCACAGGGUGGCUGGUUGUUGGGGAUCUGAGAAGUCACCACUAUGAAGAAGUUCCUCGGCCUCGGGAGCCAGAGGCCAAGACAGAGCAGAACCUCAGGUCCUGGGCUCCAUAGACCCCUUUACGCUGCUUCCGGGCACCGAAUCCAGGAUGUGGAACCGGAAGCUCCACAAGGCAGCUGUCAGGGGCGACGCCGCAGAGGUUGAACUGCCUGGCGCGCAGGAGCGGAGACCUGGACGCCCGGGACAAGCCACACAGUGUGUCCUUCAGAAACUGUCAGAGCCUUUACCUGGACCUGAAAAUGGAAAAACAAAACAAAACAAAAAACACGGUAUAGUCAAUGUAAAAGAAGGGCCUCCUGAAUAAUAUCCUUCCUUGAAGAUUGUAGGAGUUCUGAUCAACCUGCAGUCAGCAUUUUCCAGUAACUGUGUAUGGAUUCAUGCCCUAAACCAGACGAUGAAAACUUGACUUACUACCAAGGUUACAGUCUCCUAUUACCCCAAAAUGAAAUCUCAAAUGUCCUCCAUUCUGCAUAAAACCCAUGCUGGCCCCUCAGUGGAAAACAUCAACCAUGAAUUAUGGGUCGCUUCACUUUACCUUCACGCCACCAAUUUCUGUUGCACUGACUGUGCUUAUUACCAUGUAUGUCUAGCAUUAGACUGGACUCCUAGGGAAGAAUAACUCACAUUCAUUUCUCGGUCCCGAGGGCAAAACUCCAAAGUGUAAUUAAGGAAAGAAAUAACUCCAAUUCUUUCAAGUUCUGAAUUUGUUUUCCUCUCAAAAAUGGCAGUGUGUAUUCAAGCUCUGCUUAUUUUCCUGAUCCAGUUCUCCACCUUUGGGGGAUCUUACAAAAUAGGCCAGGAAGGCAAAAAUGUCUAGAGAUUACUCCCACAUGGUAAUCUUUGCAAAUAAAACUCUUAGACUUAACUUUAUACUAAUAAAAGUUUCAUAAUUUUUUUUUUUUUUUUUUUGAGACAGGGUCUUGCUCUGUCACCCAGGCUGGAGUACAAUUACAGCU